CUCCGGCCUCGGCUCCUAGCAGGUGGGGACACAGGACUUGGUGCACUUGGCGGCGCACUUGCUGUGCGCCGAGAGCGUGCAGCCCUUGCCGCAGAUCAUCUUCUUCUUGUGGCACUCCUCCUUGGUGAGGCAGCUCUUGCCCUGCUUCUCGCCCUCCUCCUUGCCGUGCUCACCGCUGCUGCCACUGCCGCCCGACGAGCUCUGGUCGUCGCCCUGCGUGGCCAUGCCGCCGCUCGGCCUCGCCGGCGACGCCUUGUCGGCAGCCCAGGUGGACGCGGAGGGCGCCACCCUUGCACCCUCUGCGACCAGCGGGCCCGUGG
rnacentral:misc_RNA from 1 species